rnacentral:lncRNA from 1 species
CUGUGCCUUGUUGGCUCAUGGUAGUUACCAGUGUGAAACCGUUGUCUUCAUUUUGCGUAUAUUUUUCAGGUCUGCAAAAGAUGAUUUUACGUCUAUUAUUGGGAAAUGUCAAGCUAGCAGCCUUUUUGUUGUGCCGAAAAAUUCAGAAUAGGAGAGAAUCGAGGAGCUGGAUUAUUAGGAUUAUGAAGGUAUUGAUUAUCGCAGUCUUAUGAUUGUGU